rnacentral:rRNA from 1 species
CUAGCCGUAAACGAUGAACACUAGGCGUAGUCGGUAUCGACCCCGGCUGUGCCGUAGCUAACGCAUUAAGUGUUCCGCCUGGGGAGUACGGCCGCAAGGCUAAAACUCAAAGGAAUUGACGGGGGCCCGCACAAGCAGCGGAGCGUGUGGUUUAAUUCGUCGCAACGCGAAGAACCUUACCAGGGCUUGACAUGUGGCGGAAAACGGCGGAAACGUCGUCCUCCCGCAAGGGAUCGUCAUGCAGGUGUUGCAUGGCC